rnacentral:rRNA from 1 species
CUAGUUGGCGAGGUAAUGGCUCACCAAGGCAUAGACGGGUAGCUGGUCUGAGAGGAUGAUCAGCCACACUGGGACUGCGACACGGCCCAGACUCCUACGGGAGGCAGCAGUGGGGAAUAUUGCACAAUGGGCGAAAGCCUGAUGCAGCGACGCCGCGUGAGGGAUGACGGCCUUCGGGUUGUAAACCUCUUUCAGCUCCGACGAAGCGAAAGUGACGGUAGGGGCAGAAGAAGCACCGGCCAACUACGUGCCAGCAGCCGCGGUAAUACGUAGGGUGCAAGCGUUGUCCGGAAUUAUUGGGCGUAAAGAGCUCGUAGGCGGCUUGUCGCGUCGGCUGUGAAAACCUGGGGCUCAACUCCGGGCCUGCAGCCGAUACGGGCAAGCUAGAAUUCGGUAGGGGAGACUGGAAUUCCUGGUGUAGCGGUGAAAUGCGCAGAUAUCAGGAGGAACACCGGUGGCGAAGGCGGGUCUCUGGGCCGAAAUUGACGCUGAGGAGCGAAAGCGUGGGGAGCAAACAGGAUUAGAUACCCUGGUAGUCCACGCCGUAAACGUUGGGCGCUAGGUGUGGGCCACAUUCCACGUGGUCCGUGCCGCAGCUAACGCAUUAAGCGCCCCGCCUGGGGAGUACGGCCGCAAGGCUAAAACUCAAAGGAAUUGACG